GUCCAGGUGCUCUCCUGUGACCAACACAGCCCUAAUGAGCUCUGCAUAUUCAAAGCACAAGUAAUUGAUGGUCCAAUUUAAAGUGUGCAGAGGCCAAAUUUCUUUCCAGACUCUGAAGGAAAAACACCAGCUGAGGAAGAAUGAAGAACUGCCUGUUCUAAGUUAUUCUCCUUCUGUGGUCAUUCGAGCACCAGGAAGACCAGGUUUGACCCAUCAAGUACCUCAAGAAAGAAGUCAAUUACCUAAAGAAGUCAAGCAAAAAGGAAAGGACAAAAUGAAAAUCAUGUACCAGGGUACACGUCGAGGCUCCAAGCUGGAAUGAAUAUGGCCUUCAACAUACUCUUCAUCAUACAGAAGCUUGUGUUCAGGGCUUGGAUUUUGAAGUCAGACAGACCUGGAUUAAAAACCAAUUCAACUACCUAUUACAUAUGUGACCUAGGAAAAACAUCCAGGCAAGUGGAAAGCAUUUGCAUCAGCCCAGCAAUAAGAAGGACCAUAUUCUACUUGGGAAAAGGUAAAGACGUUUCAUAUGGAUGGAGCCUGCCAGGAAACCUGUCAUUCAACCCUUUGCAAUAAAACAGCUCCUCAUGAAUGAAGCAAAAUAAAUCAGAAGUCGUGGGCUUUUAAAUUCACUAAAUGAAAGCCCAGCAUGCAUGCAGCCUCCCUCCAAAUUAAUCACCAGAUUAAAUGCAAGAUGUGCACACCAAAUCAAUAGCUUGUGACAGAGACCUCCUGCCUGUGCUUCAGGAAAAUUCCAUUUCCUUUCAGAUGU
rnacentral:lncRNA from 1 species